GUUAAAAAGCUCGUAGUUGGAUCUCGGCAGGUAGGGGGCGGUUCGUUUCUGACGGCACUGCCCCAUUUACCUGUGUUUUUGACGGAGGUUUCACGGUGAUUUUCAUCGAUUGUCGUGAUACGCCGUCAGGUUUACUUUGAAAAAAUUAGAGUGCUCAAAGCAGGCUACAAGCUUGAAUAUUUGUGCAUGGAAUAAUGGAAUAGGAAGUCGUUUCUAUUUUUUUGGUUUUCGGAAAUUGACUUAAUGAUUAAUAGGGACAGCCGGGGGCAUUCGUACUCAGACGACAGAGGUGAAAUUCUUGGACCGUCUGAGGACGAGCUACUGCGAAAGCAUUUGCCAAGAGUGUUUU
rnacentral:rRNA from 1 species